rnacentral:rRNA from 1 species
CAAGUCGAACGGGAUUACUUUUGGUAGCAAUACCGAGAGUAAUUUAGUGGCGAACGGGUGCGUAACACGUGGGCAAUCUGCCGAGAAGUGGGGGAUAGCUCGCCGAAAGGCGAAUUAAUACCGCAUGUGGUGAGGGACGACAUCUUCCUGAAUCCAAAGCCGGGGCAACCUGGCGCUUUUUGAGGAGCCCGCGGCCUAUCAGCUAGUUGGUGAGGUAACGGCUCACCAAGGCUAUGACGGGUAGCUGGUCUGAGAGGACGACCAGUCACACUGGAACUGAGACACGGUCCAGACACCUACGGGUGGCAGCAGUCGAGAAUUUUUCUCAAUGGGGGAAACCCUGAAGGAGCGACGCCGCGUGGAGGAUGAAGGCUUUCGGGUUGUAAACUCCUGUCAUUUGGGAACAAGGUGCACCGGUUAACUGCCGGAGUAUUGAUAGUACCAGAAGAGGAAGAGACGGCUAACUCUGUGCCAGCAGCCGCGGUAAUACAGAGGUCUCAAGCGUUGUUCGGAUUCAUUGGGCGUAAAGGGUGCGUAGGUGGCGCCGUAAGUCGGGUGUGAAAUUUCGGAGCUUAACUCCGAAACUGCAUUCGAUACUGCGGUGCUUGAGGACUGGAGAGGAGACUGGAAUUCAUGGUGUAGCAGUGAAAUGCGUAGAGAUCAUGAGGAAGACCAGUGGCGAAGGCGGGUCUCUGGACAGUUCCUGACACUGAGGCACGAAGGCCAGGGGAGCAAACGGGAUUAGAUACCCCGGUAGUCCUGGCAGUAAACGGUGCACGUUUGGUGUGGGAGGAUUCGACCCCUUCC